GCUGGGCAUAGUGGCGCGUGCCUGUAGUCCCAGCUGCGCGGGAGGCUGAGGCUGGAGGAUCGCUUGAGCCCAGGAGUUCUGGGCUGUAGUGCGCUGUGCCGAUCGGGUGUUCAGCAUCAAUAUGGUGACCUCCCGGGAGCGGGGGACCACCAGGUUGCCUAAGGAGGGGUGAACCGGCCCAGGUCGGAAACUGAGCAGGUUAAAACUCCCGUGCCGAUCAAUAGUGGGAUGGUGCCUGUGAAUAGGCACUGCACUCCAGCCUGGGCAAUAGAGCGAGACCCCGUCUCAA
ensembl:misc_RNA Metazoa_SRP Metazoan signal recognition particle RNA